UACGGAGGAUGCGAGCGUUAUCCGGAUUUAUUGGGUUUAAAGGGUGCGUAGGCGGACGCUUAAGUCAGCGGUAAAAUUGCGGGGCUCAACCUCGUCGAGCCGUUGAAACUGGGUGCCUUGAGUGGGCGAGAAGUUCGCGGAAUGCGUGGUGUAGCGGUGAAAUGCAUAGAUAUCACGCAGAACCCCGAUUGCGAAGGCAGCCUUCCGGCGCCCUACUGACGCUGAGGCACGAAAGUGCGGGGAUCGAACAGG
rnacentral:rRNA from 1 species